CAACCUUCAAGCCCAGCUUGGUGUUGGGCGUUGUCCCGCCUCUUGCGCGCGGACUCGCCCCAAAUUGAUUGGCAGUCGCAUCCACCGAGCCGCGAGCGCAGCACAAGUCGCGCGAGCCGGCGAGGCGGCAAGGACGCUCCACAAGACCCUUUUUUACAAG
rnacentral:misc_RNA from 1 species